UACGGAGGGAGCUAGCGUUGUUCGGAAUUACUGGGCGUAAAGCGCGCGUAGGCGGCUUUGUAAGUUAGAGGUGAAAGCCCGGGGCUCAACCCCGGAAUUGCCUUUAAGACUGCAUCGCUUGAAUCCGGGAGAGGUGAGUGGAAUUCCGAGUGUAGAGGUGAAAUUCGUAGAUAUUCGGAAGAACACCGGUGGCGAAGGCGGGUCUCUGGGCCGUAACUGACGCUGAGGAGCGAAAGCGUGGGGAGCGAACAGG
rnacentral:rRNA from 1 species